UAGUGUUCUUAAUUUUAGAAAAAGAAAUUUCUCAAAUUUUAAAGCUAUCAAAAGUACACUGUUACUCUUUCAUACAUUAGACUUUCAGGGUCAAUCCUGCAUCCAAUGGACUCCUCACAUGAAUAAGGGCUACACACUAAAUCCCAAAGGAUUUAAUUACCAUCAGCACUUACCUUUUUGAUCCUCACAGAGUUGCCAUUACUACAGCAAGGGAAACUGCAGAAUUUGUGGAUUCACAAUAGUUGAGAUGUUAUAGGAGAUAAAAGUAUGUGAAAAGUAAAGACCAAAGUGAAGAUUACCUCAGUCAAAAGGGCCACUACAGGAAGUUGCAAUGGUGAAGAAGUUAACUGGAAGGUGCUGUGAAUAACUACCAGACCAGUGACCAACAAAACAAGACAGUGAAACAAGAUCUCAUGCAGGUGUACAGGAUGCAGUAAUGAAGCAGGACAGGUGUCUGAACUCAGCAAACAACAAACACAGCUACCUAG